GGUUUUGCGGCAGCUACACAUGCAGUCGAGCGGAACGACUUAACUGAACCUUCGGGGGACGUUAAGGGCGUCGAGCGGCGGACGGGUGAGUAAUGCCUGGGAAAUUGCCCUGAUGUGGGGGAUAACCAUUGGAAACGAUGGCUAAUACCGCAUAAUGCCUUCGGGCCAAAGAGGGGGACCUUCGGGCCUCUCGCGUCAGGAUAUGCCCAGGUGGGAUUAGCUAGUUGGUGAGGUAAGGGCUCACCAAGGCGACGAUCCCUAGCUGGUCUGAGAGGAUGAUCAGCCACACUGGAACUGAGACACGGUCCAGACUCCUACGGGAGGCAGCAGUGGGGAAUAUUGCACAAUGGGCGCAAGCCUGAUGCAGCCAUGCCGCGUGUAUGAAGAAGGCCUUCGGGUUGUAAAGUACUUUCAGUCGUGAGGAAGGUAGUGUAGUUAAUAGCUGCAUUGCUUGACGUUAGCGACAGAAGAAGCACCGGCUAACUCCGUGCCAGCAGCCGCGGUAAUACGGAGGGUGCGAGCGUUAAUCGGAAUUACUGGGCGUAAAGCGCAUGCAGGUGGUUUGUUAAGUCAGAUGUGAAAGCCCGGGGCUCAACCUCGGAAUUGCAUUUGAAACUGGCAGACUAGAGUACUGUAGAGGGGGGUAGAAUUUCAGGUGUAGCGGUGAAAUGCGUAGAGAUCUGAAGGAAUACCGGUGGCGAAGGCGGCCCCCUGGACAGAUACUGACACUCAGAUGCGAAAGCGUGGGGAGCAAACAGGAUUAGAUACCCUGGUAGUCCACGCCGUAAACGAUGUCUACUUGGAGGUUGUGGCCUUGAGCCGUGGCUUUCGGAGCUAACGCGUUAAGUAGACCGCCUGGGGAGUACGGUCGCAAGAUUAAAACUCAAAUGAAUUGACGGGGGCCCGCACAAGCGGUGGAGCAUGUGGGUUUAAUUCGAUGCAACGCGAGAACCUUACCUACUCUUGACAUCCAGAGAACUUUCCAGAGAUGGAUUGGUGC
rnacentral:rRNA from 1 species